AAUAAAUACAGUUUUACACUUGAUCGUUCGUUUUAUUUGAAUUUUUUUUAUGAUUAGUAUUUUUAUUGCUAUUAGAUGAUAAAACAUGAAUAUUACUUUAUGUAUGACUAAAUAUUUUUAUUUUUUUCACAAAUUUUUCAAAUAAGACGGACGGUCAAACGUUGGGCACGGAUAUCCACGGCUGCACUUAUU
rfam:Oryza nivara chromosome 7, whole genome shotgun sequence.